GAAUCUGAAGAUGACCUAUCUGGAUGAGACAUCCCUCACUGCCCAGAUGGCCAGUGUUGAUUCGGCUGAUCCGCCUGGCUAGGUGGAAGCCCCCUUCCUUCCUCAUUGCUCUGUCUGUGUCCCUCCUGAAGAUGCACACUUGGUCAAAGAGGAAGAAACUCCCUGACAGAGGAGAACCAUUUCCUUGGUCAAGAAUACAAGAGUAGCUGCCCCAUGGUAGAAUCUCCAAACAAGUCCUCAAAUACAGAUUUCUAAAAUUGCUUACUUUAUUUGGACAUUUAUGAAGCACGAAAAACUCAUAACAUUCUAAAACUUUAUUUUUU
rfam:Heterocephalus glaber contig28332, whole genome shotgun sequence.